rnacentral:rRNA from 1 species
GACGAACGCUGGCGGCAUGCCUAACACAUGCAAGUCGAACGGAAAUUCUUUCCGUAUUCUUAGUGGCGAACGGGUGAGUAACGCGUGGGCAACCUGCUCUCUAGCUCUGGACAACAUCCCGAAAUGAGUGCUAAUACCGAAUGUGACAGCAAUCUCUCAUGCGGCUUCUUUGGAAUAUGGCCUCUACUUCUAUGCUAUCGCUAGUGGCUGGGUCUGCGUCUGAUUAGCUAGUUGGUGGGGUAACGGACUACCAAGGCGAUGAUCAGUAGCCGGACUGAGAGGAUGGGCGGCCAGACUGGGACGGAGACACGGCCCAGAGGGCUAGGGGAGGGAGCAGGAGGGAAACUGGCGGAAGGGGCGGAAGCCAGACGGAGCAAGGCCGCGGGAGGAAUGAGGGAAGUCGUGCCGUAAAGCACGGUUGUUUAGGAGGAAUGUGCAGAUGGUUGAGAAGGAUCUGUAGUGACGGUAAUGAAUGAAGAAGCCACGGCUAACUACGUG